AUUGAACGCUGGCGGCAGGCCUAACACAUGCAAGUCGAACGAGUGGCGGACGGGUGAGUAAUGUCUGGGAAACUGCCCGAUGGAGGGGGAUAACUACUGGAAACGGUAGCUAAUACCGCAUACCAUCGGAUGUGCCCAGAUGGGAUUAGCUAGUAGGUGGGGUAACGGCUCACCUAGGCGACGAUCCCUAGCUGGUCUGAGAGGAUGACCAGCCACACUGGAACUAGAACACGGUCCAAGCUCAUAUGGAAGGCAGCAGUGGGGAAUAUUGCACAAUGGGCACAAGCCGGAUGCAGCCAGGCCGCUUGUAUGAAGAAGGCCAUCGGGUUGUAAAGUACUUUCAGCGAGGAGGCGUUACUCGCAGAAGAAGCACCGGCUAACUCCGUGCCAGCAGCCGCGGUAAUUC
rnacentral:rRNA from 1 species